rnacentral:tRNA from 1 species
GCCUGGCUAGCUCAGUCUGUGGAGCAUGAGACUCUUAAUCUCAGGGUCGUGGGCUUGAGCCCCACAUUGGACG